rnacentral:lncRNA from 1 species
GGGAGCUUCAUCAUCUCUAAACCAAAUCAGAUCUUCUGCUACGACGUCAGCUGGAAUAUGUCUUUUUAAAAGCUGUUGCAACAUCUGCUGACGGUCUCGGGCAAACAUUUGGAACGUAAAACUGAACUGUUAGAGGGAAAAGGAAUCUGCUGAUCCUUUUUCCCUCUCUGCGUUAUGUCUAGACACGGACAAAGCCGGCUUGGAAAGUCUCCCCUCCUCCUCCUCCUCCUCCUCGCCGUCCUCCGCAUAUGUUGUGAAUGAAUGACUCACUGCUGUCCACUUCCUCCUUCUCCAGGACCUUUCCCUCCCUGCUCGCACAGUUUCCACAACUUGACCUCGUUUGCCUCGGUCUGGAUUGUGGGUUGAGCUGCAGGGUUACAGCUGACAUCAUCGCUCUGUGUGCAGCACGAGCUGCUGAGGUUCGUAGGGAAGUGACGUCCUACAAGUCUGUCCGAGAGAUCCACAGUGUCGUACCUCUCUCUCCCUGCUGUCCCGGUGAACCUGGAUUUCCAUGUAAUCCGCUCCUUCCCGCGGCGCCGGGCUCUCCGCGGGGUCCCUGCCUGCCGGUGGGUCCUGCGGGCCCUGCGGGACCCGGGUUGUUGCUGCGGUACAUGCCGUUAGGGAUCUGGUUCAGUAGCGUGUUGACUCGAGUCAUUUGUGCUGCAACACCAGAAGAGAAAAGUGUUAACGAACCCGAGAGGCUGCGUCACAGAGACGCAACUUUCCAAACGUACCGUUCACCAGCGUCUCGCACACUUGUCGGGCAAUAGAUCGCAUCAUGUUCUGAGGAGCGAAGUCGCCCUGUGGACACAAAGACAGACGUGAAGACAAAACGGGAAUAAAAUGUACAUCUGAGGUUAUUUGCAGAUGGAAACUGAUGUUAUACCGUAUCAUAAAUAAUCCAUUAUUUACUAGAGUUCUGUGAAAUGUGCAGAUUUAGGGUUUGAACUGAACAUUUAAUUGAUCAAAUAAAUGUUUUACAAUAAAGAAUGAAGGGAAAUGUAAUAAUUAAAACUCCUCAAUAAGCAUGCACAUAAAGCGAGCAGGUGUUAACAAGUUAUAAACUGCUGAACUCACUUAAACAGGACAUAAAAUAACAUUAGAUAAGAUUUAUAUUAACAUUCUCCACCCUUUGCAAACUUAGUUGAGAUGUAUGAAUCUAUUAUUCCUGAUGUUUGAUUCCUUCACUUUGAUCACUUUCGGUAGAUUUCGAUUUCUGCAUUGAUCCAUCUUCACUUUGUUUUAUCUGUGGAGCUUCUUGUGUGCUGUGAACUACAUGCCACAUCCUUAAAGUACUUGCAUGAAACAGCUCAGAAGCUCUGACCUUUUGUCAAACAUUUGGAUUAAAUAGAAAUCCUUUCUUAAGAUUUGAUCGUUGUUUGGCGUUCUUACAUCUUCACAUGUCCUCGGUUAUGUCUUGACAUGACAUUCUGUCCUAACAAGACAUUUAGCUUCACGAGUUCCAAAACCUUAUCUUCUUAAAUUAGAUUAAGGCAAUCUUCCAAAUCUUGUUUCUAAAUAUUAAAAAGUAUUUUUUAAGAACGACUGAUUGAGUCCAGUCAAGGUUUUCUUUAUCUCACUUUGGAUUCAAACUUAAGGUUUUUAAAUGUUCAAAAAUAAAUCCCGAUGUACUCACUCUCUCCCCCUUGUCUCCCUUUGAACCGACAGCGCCCUAAAAACAGAAAGUUAAAACGGUUUAGUCGACAGGACAUCGUUUAAUCUCCGGCUGGAUUCAAAGCCGACAGCCAGGACACUUACAGGAGUCCCGGAGUCUCCGGGGUUCCCUGGUUUUCCUCCACCACCUUGUGCUCCAGGAGAUCCUGGAGGUCCCUGCAAGGAAACAGAACCACUGAGUUAGAAGACGAGCAAAAGCAUCUUCAUCACUUUAACCAAGAAAAUGGUUCAUCUGUGUAAA